rnacentral:lncRNA from 1 species
UCUUCCUCUCGUUGGGAAGAACCUUUUUUCUUCAAUUUUUUACUGUAAAAGUAGCAAAAUAGCCUCUUUUUGAUGCCUAAGAACCAGCAACAAAAAUCUCAUAAAAUUCUUUCAAAAGGAGUUGGAGAAGAAGGCUUAAAUGUGUGGAAUUUGGGGCAUCCAACUCUUGGACGCCCCCUCCUUUCGUUUUAGUGACUUGG